AUGGCAAUAAAUCUGAUUUAAUGAGAGUGGCGAAUAUAUUUUUCGAAUUUCAUGAAACUUUUAUUGAAAAAAUUCUCAUUAGAUAAGUUCAGUCAUUAUGAUGAAGUUCCUCUUUCAUGUUCUUCUCAUUGUUCUCUUGGUGUAUGAUUUGGCAGACGCUUGUUGUUGUCGGAAUCCCCCAGUUAAUGAUCCUUUUAUGGUGGGCGAUGGACUGUCUCCUGGUCCUCGAUGUGAUUAGACCAGAAAAUGUUAUACAAUCAUGAUAUAUGAGUAUAUGGACGGAACGAAAAAUGAUAUUUCGAAUGAAUUAUACAAAAAUCUAUUUGUAAUAAGAUAAAAUUGCUUAAUAAAUGUUAAAGACCCA